AUGAGCAUGCUCACAUGCUGGCAAAAAUUGGUGUUAUUUCAUGCAUGGCAAGAAGCACACCAUGUUCAAAGGUGUCCAAAUUCCUUCAAAUUUUGCAUGAAGGCCAACCAUGAGCAUGGCCACACACUGACAAGUUUUGGUGUCAUUUUGUGCAUGGCAAGAAGCAUAUCAUGUUCAAAGGUGAUGGUUCGGUCAAAACAAUAUAUCUACCACGAGCUGUUCGGUUGCCCAGUUGGUGACUCUGGCGCUACAAGUCUACAACCUCUGUUCAAGCGGUCGACGACGUUCACGGAGCGGGACGACGACGACCUCGCGGAGCAGGUGACCAAGUUCGGGUACCAGCACGAGUUCGCCGACAUCGCCUGGUACCCGGGCCACGGCCGCGCGGUGUACCGCAUGGACGACAGGCUGCCGAUGAACGCCUCCGGCGACGGCGUGCUCGACUUCAUCGGCUUCCGCCCCACCUCGGCCGCGGUGAUCAAGGCCAACCGGCUGGUCGAGGAGGCGUCCGAGCGGGUGGGCAACGGCGGCAGCGGCGGCAAGUGCCUGACCGCGAGGGUGACCCACGCCGCGCUGUCGGUGGCCGGCUACGGGCUGGCGCGUCGGAGCGGCGGGCUGUUCACGGGGUACCCGGUGGUGGGGCGGCAGGACCAGAUGCAGGCGUCGGGCAGCUGCCUCACCGGGAAGGAGGACGCGCUCCAGACCGCCUGCGCCUGGGACCCGCGCGUGAGCGACUCCAGCUUCUUCCACCAGACCACCUUCAGCCUGCCGCUGAGCCGCGCGGGCGCGUUCGUCCAGGAGGUCCAGCGGCUGCGUGACCUGAACCCGAAGGCCUUCUGCGGCCUCGAGCUCUACGACGGCAUCCUCAUCCGCUACGUCAAGUCAUCCACGGCGCACCUCGGGAAGCCGGCGGCGGCCGGGGAGUCGGCGGACAUGGUGGACUUCGACAUGACCUACUACCGCAGUCGCGACCCCGGGAGGGCGGGGCUCCACGAGGACUUCCUGGAGGAGAUCGAGCAGAUGGCUACGCCCCCGGCCUUCGCCGGCGUCGCGAGCAAGUACCCCGGGAUGCGCCGGUUCCUGCGCGUCAAGAGCGCCUACGACCCCGACGGUCUCUUCUCCAGCGGCUGGAGCGACAUGAUGGUCGGCGUCGGCGGUGGUGCCGCGCCGACCAAGGACGCGCCCGGGUGCGCGCUGGAAGGGAUGUGCGUGUGCUCGCGGGACGCGCACUGCGCGCCGGAGCAGGGCUACCUGUGCCGGCCCGGCAAGGUGUACAAGGAUGCCAGGGUCUGCACCAAAGUGUAG
rnacentral:rRNA from 1 species